rnacentral:rRNA from 1 species
AUUGAACGCUGGCGGCAGGCCUAACACAUGCAAUUCGAACGAGUGGCGGACGGGUGAGUAAUGUCUGGGAAACUGCCCGAUGGAGGGGGAUAACUACUUGAAACGGUAGCUAAUACCGCAUACCAUCGGAUGUGCCCAGAUUGGAUUAGCUAGUCGGUGGGGUAACGGAUCACCUCCGCCACGACCCCUAGCUGGUCUGAGAGGAUGACCAGCCACACUGUGACGGAGACACGGUCCAGACUCCUACGGGAGGCAUCAGUGGGGAAUAUUGCACAAUGGGGGCAAGCCUGAUGCAGCCAUGCCGCGUGGAUGAAGAAGGCCUUCGGGUUGUAAAGUACUUUCAGCGAGGAGGCGUUACUCGCAGAAGAAGCACCGGCUAACUCCGUGCCAGCAGCCGCGGUAAUUC